AUUGAACGCUGGCGGCAUGCCUUACACAUGCAAGUCGAACGGCAGCACGGGUGCUUGCACCUGGUGGCGAGUGGCGAACGGGUGAGUAAUACAUCGGAACAUGUCCUGUAGUGGGGGAUAGCCCGGCGAAAGCCGGAUUAAUACCGCAUACGAUCUACGGAUGAAAGCGGGGGACCUUCGGGCCUCGCGCUAUGGGGUUGGCCGAUGGCUGAUUAGCUAGUUGGUGGGGUAAAGGCCUACCAAGGCGACGAUCAGUAGCUGGUCUGAGAGGACGACCAGCCACACUGGGACUGAGACACGGCCCAGACUCCUACGGGAGGCAGCAGUGGGGAAUUUUGGACAAAGGGCGAAAGCCUGAUCCAGCAAUGCCGCGUGUGUGAAGAGGGCCUUCGGGUUGUAAAGCACUUUUGUCCGGAAAGAAAUCCUUGGCCCUAAUACGGUCGGGGGAUGACGGUACCGGAAGAAUAAGCACCGGCUAACUACGUG
rnacentral:rRNA from 1 species